UGCACAAGUGGUCGGUAACACUUGAGAA
rnacentral:piRNA from 1 species